rnacentral:lncRNA from 1 species
UUUUUUUCUGCAUACGCAACACAUUGAUUUGGCUUUAUUUUACCAUUGCAUCCCUUUAGUUCUUCCUAAUCUCUUUUUUUUUCAUUAGCAACACAUUAUUUUUCUGAUUUUCUUCUGUUUCAAUCAGACACGUGGCAUUUUUCCAUUGCACCCUUUAGUUCGAUUUAAUCUCUUUUUUUUCUUCAUGUUGGCUUUUUUCCAUUGCACCCCUUAAUUUUAGGUAAUCUUUUUUUUCUUACAUGUUGACUUUUUUACGUUGCACCCUUUAGUUCUACCUAAUCUUUUCUUUUUUUCUGCAUGUUGACUUUUUUCCAUUCCAUCCCUUUAGUUCUAUCUAAUCUCUGUAGUUUUAUCUAAUCUCUUUUUUUUUUCUAUUCGUUGUCUUUUUUUCAUUUUUUCCAUUGCACCCCUUUAGAUAUAUCUGAUCUCUUCUUUUUUU